rnacentral:rRNA from 1 species
AUGUUCGCUCCCGCCUCUGGUGGCUCUCAAUUUUGGCGUCAUCUCGUUAGCAUUAGGCUGGCUUUCCAGUCCCUUGUGAAGUUCGUUGUCCGUAACGAGUUGGAAGAUUGGCAUCGCCUUAUUGCCUGCUUCCCCCUGCUCUCGAAGGAAGAGGACUAUGUUUCUUGGCCCCACUCCUCUUCGGGGCGUUUUUUGGUAAAGUCGGCGUAUUCAAAACUCAUCGCUGGUACCCGCACUGACAAGUUUAAGUACAUUUGGUCUGCCCGCAUCCCUCCCAAGAUCAAGAUCUUCCUCUGGCAAGCUCAUUGUCGCAAACUUCCAGCGGCUGACCAGAUUAAGAAGAGGAAUGGUCCGGGCUCGGACUUCUGCCAGCUCUGCGACUUUGGCUUGGGGUUAAUUGGAACCCUUCCUCCUUUGAGGAUUUGCGGCAGUGCAUCAAUUCCCUAG